rnacentral:rRNA from 1 species
AUUGAACGCUGGCGGCAUGCUUUACACAUGCAAGUCGAACGGACCUAGGGGCUUGCUCCUAGGUUAGUGGCGAACGGGUGAGUAAUGCAUCGGAACGUACCGUGUAAUGGGGGAUAACGCAGCGAAAGUUGUGCUAAUACCGCAUACGAUCUACGGAUGAAAGCAGGGGAUCGCAAGACCUUGCGUUAUACGAGCGGCCGAUGUCGGAUUAGCUAGUUGGUAGGGUAAAGGCCUACCAAGGCAACGAUCCGUAGCGGGUCUGAGAGGAUGAUCCGCCACACUGGGACUGAGACACGGCCCAGACUCCUACGGGAGGCAGCAGUGGGGAAUUUUGGACAAUGGGCGCAAGCCUGAUCCAGCAAUGCCGCGUGCAGGAAGAAGG